AGGUGAGUCGUAUAGCGGUCAAUUACCUCAGACUGUAAAUCUGAUGCCUCCGGGCUUCGUUGGUUCGAAUCCAACCUCACCUACCA
rnacentral:tRNA from 1 species